rnacentral:rRNA from 1 species
AGUGGGGAAUAUUGGACAAUGGGGGCAACCCUGAUCCAGCCAUGCCGCGUGAGUGAUGAAGGCCUUCGGGUUGUAAAGCUCUUUCGCACGCGACGAUGAUGACGGUAGCGUGAGAAGAAGCCCCGGCUAACUUCGUGCCAGCAGCCGCGGUAAUACGAAGGGGGCUAGCGUUGUUCGGAAUUACUGGGCGUAAAGGGCGCGUAGGCGGCGCUUCAAGUCAGAUGUGAAAGCCCCGGGCUCAACCUGGGAACAGCAUUUGAGACUGGAGUGCUUGAGUUCCGGAGAGGUGGGUGGAAUUCCCAGUGUAGAGGUGAAAUUCGUAGAUAUUGGGAAGAACACCGGUGGCGAAGGCGGCCCACUGGACGGAUACUGACGCUGAGGCGCGAAAGCGUGGGGAGCAAA